ACGUAAUAGAUACCCGGGUAGUCCACGCGGUAAACGAUGGAUACUAGGUGUAGCAGGCUUCGACCCCUGCUGUGCCGUAGCAAAAACGCAAUAAGUAUCCCGCCUGGGGAGUAUGGCCGCAAGGUUGAAACUCAAAGGAAUUGACGGGGGCCCGCACAAGCGGUGGAGGAUGUGGUUUAAAUUCGACGCAACGCGAAGAACCUUACCAAGGCUUGACAUCCACUGAAUCUAUUGGAAACAGUAGAGUGCCCGAAAGGGAGCAGUGAGACAGGUGGUGCAUGGCUGUCGUCAGCUCGUGUCGUGAGAUGUUGGGUUAAAGUCCCGCAACGAGCGCAACCCUCGAUGCUAGUUACCAUCAUUAAGUUGGGGACUCUAGCGUGACUGCCGGUGAUAAGCCGGAGGAAGGUGAGGACGACGUCAAGUCAUCAUGCCCCUUACGUCUUGGGCUACACACGUCCUACAAUGGCAUAGACAAAGGGCAGCAAGAUCGCGAGGUUGAGCGAAUCCCAUAAACUAUGUCUCAGUUCGGA
rnacentral:rRNA from 1 species